ACCUGUUCUGUGCUGGGAGAGCAGGGGAAAGGGGCUUAGCCCUCUCCACUGUGGAGCCAAAGUGUUUGCCACUCCUUUCUGGGGGCCUUCCCCUACCUGGUAGCCUCCCCCGGCCCUCCCAGAGUUCAGUUUCAGCUGCCACCCAGUGGCACAGAUCCAAGGACCCUCCCUCACCCUCCUAGGGCAGUGCAUCCAGCCCCACUGCCCUAUACCUGCCAGCCCCUCCCCCUCCAGGAGGAAGCAUGGGGUGGGGCUGGACACUUGCCAGCACCUAGCCUAGUCUCCUUCACUUCUCCCCACGCGGAUCACACAGCUCCUUCUGUACCGCUCGUGUGCCCCCUUUCUGCUGGACCCUUGGCCCUGAGAACCUGUUGGGGCGGGCAGGUUGCUAACAGGAGGAAUGGAGAUCUCUAGCUAGGAAUCUGGUCGGGAGAGUCCCUGAGGAUUGGCCCGGCCUCCUCCUGCCCCACAGUCCCCCCUCUUGUUUAUUCAUUUAUCCUCAUUUAGAGCCAUUUGCAGAGAUUUAGAAAGAUUUGCAGUAACGAAUGGAUUCCUAUAUAAAGAUUAUUUUUAUACUUUUUGCAACAAAAGGAAAUUGUAAUAUUUGUACAGUGUCCAAAUGAAUAAAGACCAUGCCUAAGGCUGUCUUUGAUCUGGUUCUUUCAGGGAUCCUCCCUGGGACUGUGCUGGAUUGGUGGUGGGAACGGGCGGGUCAACUUUCUGGAAAAGGUGUGGCGGUGCUGACAGCCCGCCCUCCCCACCCCCACCUGCCGCACCUGGGGGCGGGGCGGGGCCCGCCUCUGCGGGGGCGGGGCAGGCACCCUCCUACCCUCCUACCCCCGGGACUCUAACCCGGAACUAGCCUCGGCUCUGGCUCCCUUGGGAAGGCCGCGGCGCCUUGUCGGGAGUGGGAGCCUGGGCUGUCAGUGUGGGCCACGGGAGCCAAGUGUCGGGCAGAGGAACACCUUCGUCCUCAGGGGCCUCAGACCAGGUGUGCCCUCGGCGGGAAGUUGCACAUCUGGAAAGUACAGAGGCCCCCACCUCGGGUAGACGAUGGCGCCCCCGCGGAAUGUAGUGAAGAUCGCCGUCCAGAUGCGCGACGCCAUCCCGCAGCUCAUCCAGCUGGACCAGGCGAAACCCCUGGCCGCUGUGCUGAAGGAGGUGUGCGACGCGUGGAGCUUGCCUCACUCUGAGCGCUAUGCCCUACAGUUUGCUGAUGGGCACAGAAGAUACAUCACUGAGAACAACCGCACGGAGAUCAAGAAUGGCAGCAUCCUGUGCCUCAGUACUGCCCCAGACCUUGAGGCUGAGCGGUUGUUGCGUGGGCUGCAGAGCGAGAGUUGUGAAGGGCGCCGGGAAGCCCUUCGGCACCUCGUCCUGCUGGCCCCAGACAUGACCUUCACCCGGGAAGUCAUCAGCCGUGAUGGGCUUCAGAGACUAGGCUCCAUCAUUGAGGAUGGGGACGACCUAGGAGAGGUGCUGGCCCUCGCACUGAGGGCCUUCUUGGAGCUCAUGGAGCAUGGCGUGGUGUCCUGGGAGACGCUCAGCAUCCCCUUUGUUAGGAAGGUGGUGUGCUAUGUGAACAUGAACCUCAUGGAUGCAUCUGUGCAGCCCCUGGCCCUGGGGUUGCUGGAGAGUGUGACCUUGAGCAGCCCUGCCCUGGGCCAGCUGGUCAAGAGUGAGGUGCCACUGGAUAGGCUGCUGGUGCACCUACAGGUGAUGAACCAGCAGCUGCAAACCAAGGCCAUGGCGCUGCUGACGGCUUUGCUGCAGGGGGCCAGCGCUGCUGAACGUAAGCACAUGCUUGACUACCUGUGGCAGAGAAACCUUCGCCAGUUCAUCUACAAGAACAUCAUCCACAGUGCAGCGCCACUGGGCGACGAGAUGGCUCACCACUUGUACGUACUGCAGGCCCUUACGCUCGGGCUGCUGGAGCCACGCAUGCGGACGCCACUGGACCCCUACAGCCCGGAGCAGCGGGAGCAGCUGCAGGCCCUGCGUCAGGCUGCCUUUGAACCGGAGGGGGAGUCCCUGGGCACUGGGCUGAGUGCUGACCGUCGCCGUUCCCUCUGUGCCCGCGAGUUCCGCAAACUGGGCUUCUCUAACAGCAACCCUGCGCAGGACCUGGAGCGCGUGCCCCCUGGCCUGCUGGCCCUGGACAACAUGCUCUACUUCUCCAGACACGCGCCCAGCGCCUACAGCCGGUUUGUGUUGGAGAACAGCAGCCGUGAGGACAAGCACGAGUGUCCCUUUGCCCGGAGCAGCAUCCAGCUGACUGUGCUGCUGUGUGAACUGCUCCAUGUCGGGGAGCCCUGCUCCGAAACUGCCCAGGACUUUUCGCCCAUGUUCUUUGGCCAAGACCAGAGCUUCCAUGAGCUCUUCUGUGUGAGCAUCCAGCUGCUGAAUAAGACCUGGAAGGAGAUGCGGGCCACUCAGGAAGACUUUGAUAAGGUCAUGCAAGUGGUGCGGGAGCAGCUGGCCCGCACGCUGGCCCUGAAGCCCAGCUCCCUGGAGCUCUUCCGAACCAAGGUGAACGCGCUCACCUACGGGGAGGUCCUGCGCCUGCGGCAGACAGAGCGGCUGCAUCAGGAAGGCACACUGGCCCCUCCCAUUCUGGAGCUGCGGGAGAAGCUGAAGCCAGAGCUCAUGGGCCUGAUCCGCCAGCAGCGUUUGCUCCGCCUCUGCGAGGGGACACUCUUCCGCAAGAUCAGCAGCCGACGGCGCCAGGACAAGCUGUGGUUCUGCUGCCUGUCCCCCAACCACAAGGUGCUGCAGUAUGGGGACGUGGAGGAGGGCGUUGGCCCACCCGCCCCCGAGAGCCUGCCUGAGCAGCUCCCUGUGGCCGACGUCAGGGCACUGCUGACAGGCAAGGACUGCCCCCACGUCCGGGAGAAGGGCUCGGGAAAGCAGAACAAGGACGUCUGUGAGUUAGCUUUCUCAGUCAGCUAUGACCACGGGGAGGAGGAGGCAUACCUCAACUUCAUUGCCCCAUCCAAACGGGAGUUCCACCUGUGGACAGAUGGGCUGAGCGCCCUGCUGGGCAGUCCCAUGGGCAGUGAGCAGACACGGCUGGACCUGGAGCAGCUGCUGACCAUGGAAACCAAGCUGCGGUUGCUGGAGCUGGAGAAUGUGCCCAUCCCUGAGCAGCCACCCCCCGUCCCCCCGCCCCCCACCAACUUCAACUUCUGCUACGACUGCAGCAUCGCUGAACCUUGACAGUGAGGGCUCGGUUCUGUCACCGCUUUCAUCGGCCUUCCUGGCCCCCAGAGCACCCACCCUCACUCCCCUCCCCAGACUGCAGUGGUCACCAAUCACUUGGCUCGUGAGGCAGCACUCGGCCACGUCGAGGCUCUGCAGCUCCCGCAGGCCCCCUAGGGCUGAGCAUCUCACAUCCGUCAGCUGCUGCAGCGUCCUCAAGCUCAGGUGCCACAGGCCCCACAGGCCCUGGCUCACAGCCAAGAGUGCCCCGUCCGCCAGUUCUGAGCAGCCGCUGAGGUCCAGGGAGAACAUCAUCAAAAGGGAACCAGAAGGGUAGAAAUGACGCCUAACACGCGCUCACUGCAAGAUACUUAUCAACAGGAUUCUCCCAGGAAGACGCACGGAACUCAUUCCCAGGUGUGGAGAAUCAGCCUGGCUUCUGCCCCAGAGAGAAGCAGCUGACUAUGGCUGUCCUCACGGGAAGG